CAAUCCCAAAACUUAUAUUGUUCCAGGAAUUACCAUGAGAAGCAAGCACUGAAUCUUUCUUGGCUAUCAAUAAAAUCUGUUGCGGCAGUACAUGGCUUCUGAAGUGACGAGUAACAGUAAUCAUGCCAGGUUAAUCCAAGCUCAGUCCGUUGGUAUGCCCCAUGGCUGGAUUUGCUUGCUUUGCUGUGUACUGGAGGUGCUCAAUGAAAUCCGUCAGUUUGCUCUUGGUCUUGGAGGAUUACGGAAGAGGAUAUGUAGAUCCUUCCAAUCCCUAGCAAUGUACUAGAAGUUAUAAAUGGUGGUCAGUAUCAGCCACUACAUGUCGGAGCUGUUGCGGGAGCACCAGAAGCUUGUCCUGUUUCACGCAGGUGCUACCAAUCUACAUCAAGCUGUUGGGCCACAAGAUAAUGCGGGU